rnacentral:rRNA from 1 species
UACAGGGGGGGCAAGCGUUGUUCGGAAUUACUGGGCGUAAAGGGCUCGUAGGUGGCCAACUAAGUCAGACGUGAAAUCCCUCAGCUUAACUGGGGAACUGCGUCUGAUACUGGAUGGCUUGGAGUUUGGGAGAGGGAUGCGGAAUUCCAGGUGUAGCGGUGAAAUGCGUAGAUAUCUGGAGGAACACCGAUGGCGAAGGCGGCAUCCUGGACCAACACUGACACUGAGGAGCGAAAGCCAGGGGAGCAAACGGG